rnacentral:rRNA from 1 species
UACGUAGGGGGCAAGCGUUGUCCGGAUUUAUUGGGCGUAAAGAGCGUGUAGGCGGCUUUACAGGUCCGUUGUGAAAACUCGAGGCUCAACCUCGAGACGCCGGUGGAAACCGUAAAGCUAGAGUCCGGAAGAGGAGAGUGGAAUUCCUGGUGUAGCGGUGAAAUGCGCAGAUAUCAGGAGGAACACCCGUGGCGAAAGCGGCUCUCUGGGACGGUACUGACGCUGAGGAGCGAAAGCCAGGGGAGCAAACGGG